rnacentral:rRNA from 1 species
GAGGGGAGUGAAAAAGAACCUGAAACCGUGUACGUACAAGCAGUGGGAGCACGCUUAGGCGUGUGACUGCGUACCUUUUGUAUAAUGGGUCAGCGACUUAUAUUCUGUAGCAAGGUUAACCGAAUAGGGGAGCCGAAGGGAAACCGAGUCUUAACUGGGCGUUAAGUUGCAGGGUAUAGACCCGAAACCCGGUGAUCUAGCCAUGGGCAGGUUGAAGGUUGGGUAACACUAACUGGAGGACCGAACCGACUAAUGUUGAAAAAUUAGCGGAUGACUUGUGGCUGGGGGUGAAAGGCCAAUCAAACCGGGAGAUAGCUGGUUCUCCCCGAAAGCUAUUUAGGUAGCGCCUCGUGAAUUCAUCUCCGGGGGUAGAGCACUGUUUCGGCAAGGGGGUCAUCCCGACUUACCAACCCGAUGCAAACUGCGAAUACCGGAGAAUGUUAUCACGGGAGACACACGGCGGGUGCUAACGUCCGUCGUGAAGAGGGAAACAACCCAGACCGCCAGCUAAGGUCCCAAAGUCAUGGUUAAGUGGGAAACGAUGUGGGAAGGCCCAGACAGCCAGGAUGUUGGCUUAGAAGCAGCCAUCAUUUAAAGAAAGCGUAAUAGCUCACUGGUCGAGUCGGCCUGCGCGGAAGAUGUAACGGGGCUAAACCAUG